ensembl:lncRNA
UGAAGGUUCAUCUUCUGUGAAUCCUCUCAGCUAAAAUAAAGUUGAAGUAAACAGAACUUGACUGACUGGAGCAACUUGGUAGGAGGUUGCUAGGGAUCUGAGCUGGUUCACCUGCCGGGGAGGUGCUGCCCGCAGUGUUCCUCCCAGAAGCCUUCCUGUUUGCACGAGGGGGAAUCCUACGAGGACCUGGCCCGGUGGACGGACGGCGGAUGCCGGGAGUGCGAAUGCCGCGGCGCCCGGGUGACUUGCUACCUGCGCUCCUGCCCCACCUGCCCCCCCGGCACCCUGCAGGUCAGCCGGGCGGGCCGGUGCUGCCCCGAGUGCCACCCGGGUACGUCGCCCCCGCAAAGGAUUCUGGGAGAACGCAUUACCUAACUUAACACGACAGCCCAGUAUACAGGCCUAGGAAGAAGGCGAGCGUCGUACUUUCUGUGUACUUUUCCUCCUCUGCUUUCACUUUUCACGGGUUGGUGUUAGCUCGCUAAGCUAGCCACCGUGUUCACAAGGUUAUAAACCACCACAGACGAAUAAUCUCCGCUUUCACACCGCGGGGGAUAAUUAAAAGAGUUCCAGGCUUUAUGUCAUCAAACCUCAGCGUGAACAUGGACCAGCUUCAUUAAAAAGCCAGCAGGGUUUAUACGAC